rnacentral:rRNA from 1 species
ACUACGGGUGGCAGCAGUGAGGAAUAUUGGUCAAUGGGCGGGAGCCUGACCCAGCCACGUCGCGUGAGGGAUGACGGCCUUAUGGGUUGUAAACCUCUUUUGCCGGGGAGCAAAGUGGCGCACGUGUGCGGUUUGGAGAGUACCCGAAGAAAAAGCAUCGGCUAACUCCGUGCCAGCAGACGCGGUAAUACGGAGGAGGAGAUCGUUAUCAGGAUUUAUUGGGUUUAAGGGGUGCGCAGGCGGACGCUUAAGGCAGCGGGAAAAUGGCGUGGCUAAACCUAGUCCAGCCGUGGAAACUGGAGACCUUGAGUGCGGGAGAGGAACGCGGAAGGCGUGGUGUAGCGGUGAAAUGCGUAGAUAUAACGAAGAACUCCGGUGGCGAAGGCAGCUUACCGGCGCCCAACUGACGCUGAGGCACGAAAGCGUGGGUAUCGAACAGGAUUAGAUACCCUUGUAGUC